CACAGCCUUCACUUGUCAGGUAGAGAGAACUUGGCAGUGCUGCUUCGGGAUUUGCCUUUUCCUUUUGGCCUGUCAACAACACCGGCUUCUCUCAAGUGGUCCCCUAGUUUGUCUUGGGGUGGAAGCUGAGACAACACAGAUAGGAAGGACCCCAGUCUUCCUUCAGGAGUUCCCUUCUGGAGGAGUCAGAGGUAGAAAAGAAAGUCAUUAUUAAAUCCUAAACGUAGUAGUCAUUUGACAGGGAGUGAGUAACCGUUAACCAGGGGUCAGAGGAUAAUCAGAGACCUCAGUCAAGAGCUCUGCCCUGAGUAAACGUGAUGAGUUACAAGACAGAUAGCAAGCUCGCUGGGUAUUCCAAAGCUUAUAGCUUGCUAGAAAGAGAGUUCAAGGAAUUACAAAACAGCAGAAGCAAGGGCAUUAAUGCUUAUCCUGUAAGUAGUGACCUGAUGAGUUGGAAAGCUGAGAUUGAAGGACUUAAGUAUUCAGUUUGCGAAGGGCUUGUUUUCCACCUGACAAUAGAUUUUUCACAAGACUACAACCUUGUUCCUCCAGUUGUGAAAUUUGUAACAAUUCCUUUUCAUCCAAAUGUACACCCGUAUACCGGUCAACCCAGUCUAGGCAUUUUGGACAAGCCAGACAUGUGGGACACUAGUUAUACAAUACUCAGGAUCUUAUUUGAUCUACAGAUGUUGCUUUCUUACCCUAUGGUAAAAAAUCCAUUGAACUUGGAAGCAGCCGAGCUGCUGGUUAAAGAUGAGUCUUUGUACAGAACA
rnacentral:lncRNA from 1 species